rnacentral:tRNA from 1 species
GUGGUAGAGCACAGUGGUAGAGCACUUGCCUUGCAUGCAUGAGGCCCUGGGUUCGAUUCCUCAGCACCACA